CGCCUCUUGACAUGAUAAUAUAAGAGGUACUGCCUGCCCAGUGACAAUCGUUCAACGGCCGCGGUAUUAUGACCGUGCAAAGGUAGCGUAAUCACUUGUCUAUUAAAUAUAGACCUGUAUGAAUGGCAAAACGAGGGCUCAACUGUCUCUUUAAAUUAAUCAAUGAAAUUGAUCUUUCCGUGCAGAAGCGGAAAUAUAAAUAUAAGACGAGAAGACCCUAUGGAGCUUUAAACCUAAACUAAUUAUAUUUUUAUAUAAUAUAACAAUAAUUUAGUACCCGGUUUUGGGUUGGGGCGACCACGGGAUAAAAUUAAACUCCCGAGAUGAAAACUAAGAAACACAUUUCAAAAUAAUAAUAUUAUUAACAUAAUUGAUCCUUAUUUGAUCAACGAACUAAGUUACCCUAGGGAUAACAGCGCAAUCCUCUCAAAAAGUCCUUAUUGACGAGGGGGUUUACGACCUCGAUGUUGGAUCAGGACAUCCAAAUGGUGUAGCAGCUAUUAAAGGUUCGUUUGUUCAACGAUUAAAGUCCU
rnacentral:rRNA from 1 species